CUCCAUCUGGCAGCUUGAGAUCAUUACAGACGUCACCAUUGCCACACAGUAGGGAGAAGUAUUCAUCACUAAUGCCAGUAAGCUGGUAAUCAUUUUUUUAUAUUAAUAUUAGGAACAUCCAUGUUGUGGGUAGAUAGACAGAUAUCUUCAUACUUCUUACCAGUGAAGACAUCAAUGCCAGCAAGGUGACUCUUGACAUGACCGUGCAUGC